AACGAACGCUGGCGGCAUGCCUAACACAUGCAAGUCGAACGAGACCUUCGGGUCUAGUGGCGCACGGGUGCGUAACGCGUGGGAACCUGCCCUUAGGUUCGGAAUAACUCCCCGAAAGGGGUGCUAAUACCGGAUAAUGUCUUCGGACCAAAGAUUUAUCGCCUUUGGAUGGGCCCGCGUUGGAUUAGCUAGUUGGUAGGGUAAAAGCCUUCCAAGGCGACGAUCCAUAGCUGGUCUGAGAGGAUGAUCAGCCACACUGGGACUGAGACACGGCCCAGACUCCUACGGGAGGCAGCAGUGGGGAAUAUUGGACAAUGGGCGAAAGCCUGAUCCAGCAAUGCCGCGUGAGUGAUGAAGGCCUUAGGGUUGUAAAGCUCUUUUACCCGGGAUGAUAAUGACAGUACCGGGAGAAUAAGCUCCGGCUAACUCCGU
rnacentral:rRNA from 1 species